AUUGAACGCUGGCGGCAGGCCUAACACAUGCAAGUCGAGCGAGCGGCGGACGGGUGAGUAAUGUAUGGGGACUGCCCGAUAGAGGGGGAUAACUACUGGAAACGGUAGCUAAUACCGCAUACUAUCGGAUAACCCAUAUGGGAUUAGCUGGUAGGUGAGGUAAGGGCUCACCUAGGCGACGAUCCCUAGCUGGUCUGAGAGGAUGAUCAGCCACACUGGGACUGAUACACGGCCCUGAAUCCAACGGAGGCAGCAGUGGGGAAUAUUGCACAAUUGGCGCAGGCCUGAUGCAGCCAUGCCGCGUGUAUGAAGAAGGCCCUAGGGUUUGAAAGUACUUUCAGUCGGGAGGCGUUACCGACAGAAGAAGCACCGGCUAACUCCGUGCCAGCAGCCGCGGUAAUUC
rnacentral:rRNA from 1 species